rnacentral:misc_RNA from 1 species
UCUCCGUUGGUGAACCAGCGGAGGGAUCAUUACAGAGUUUUCACAACUCCCAACCCUUGCGAACCGUACCCAUUCUGUUCUCGUUGCUUCCGGCGGGGGGCCCUACGAACCUUUAUAUCUCAACCACCAGAAACCGUCUGAGAAAACAAACAAAAUGAUCAAAACUUUCAACAACGGAUCUCUUGGCUCUG